GUGGCACCAGACCUACCGAGACCCUGACCAGGAUUGAAUACGCGUCCAAUUGCCCGAUUGCAUCAUGCUUCCUCUCCACCAAUGCCGAUCCCCGCUCUGAUUGAGGAGAACGAAGCUAACCCACGCCCCCUCCGACACGUGGGCAGCAUGCCGUAUGCAUCUUAUCACCUACACUUUGACGAGUGCAAUGCAGCUCAGCACUGUGUACGGAGAGACACACCCAGCAGAGGUCGUAAUUGCACCAGUCAUGAGAGAGAGACCUCAUCCGGCUUAGUCCCGCCCAUCUGAACAACAGGCCAACCUUUGUUCAUGUGGCCUCUCAGCCUCAGCUGAUACGAUGUAUUCGAGAUCCCAGCUCUGGUUCAGUCGUGAAGUGGCUGUGAGUAACCUUCUAAUGACUAAUGGCACAUUAUUUCCGGAGGAAUAACAUUCACGGCGCUUGUGCCCGCUCUCCAGAAUAACGAAGCAGGUGCCCCGCCGUGAAGUCCCCUUUCAAGUCGGACUGUCAGAGAUUUUUACGUGCAUGCCAAGCGACGGACAGAGUGUGGCACUUCCCAGUCCGUUCCUGCUGCUGAAGGUGGUAGACUGUCACACAGAGUGUGUUCCUCUCCCGUGUUUCCCGAAAGCACAACGACAGUCCAGCUCAUCCGUGGAAAAUGGUGUUACGCCCCGCGGGGACGAGCAGGAGAUCAGCGCCGACUCCCUGUGAUCCCACCUCGCAGGUCGUAUUCUCUAUAUCUGCUCUAUAAAGCUGUCGGCUAGAUCCGAGGUGCUAGAUACACAUCACCCUGACUUUAAAUGCAGCUUUAGAAAGGCAUCAGCAACAUACAAGACCUUAAAAAGUAUUCAAUCCCCGUAAAUCUUUGAUAUUCUCUCGGUCUCUGUCUCUUGGUCUGCAUUCUGUGUUUCAAAUGUUGUGAAGGCUGCUUUUACCAGUUGAUCUAUAGACAAUUGUAUAGUUGUAAUCCAUUCAUUAAACAUUAUUUAUUUUAAUACUUUAUCCAGGUAAA